CCUACGGGAGGCAGCAGUGGGGAAUUUUGGACAAUGGGCGCAAGCCUGAUCCAGCAAUGCCGCGUGCAGGAUGAAGGCCUUCGGGUUGUAAACUGCUUUUGUACGGAACGAAACGGUUCUUUCUAAUAAAGAGAGCUAAUGACGGUACCGUAAGAAUAAGCACCGGCUAACUACGUGCCAGCAGCCGCGGUAAUACGUAGGGUGCGAGCGUUAAUCGGAAUUACUGGGCGUAAAGCGUGCGCAGGCGGUUAUAUAAGACAGAUGUGAAAUCCCCGGGCUCAACCUGGGACCUGCAUUUGUGACUGUAUAGCUAGAGUACGGUAGAGGGGGAUGGAAUUCCGCGUGUAGCAGUGAAAUGCGUAGAUAUGCGGAGGAACACCGAUGGCGAAGGCAAUCCCCUGGACCUGUACUGACGCUCAUGCACGAAAGCGUGGGGAGCAAACAGGAUUAGAUACCCUGGUAGUCCACGCCCUAAACGAUGUCAACUGGUUGUUGGGUCUUCACUGACUCAGUAACGAAGCUAACGCGUGAAGUUGACCGCCUGGGGAGUACGGCCGCAAGGUUGAAACUCAAAUGAAUUGACCGGNGUGAGAGAGCGAGGACGACGACGAGGGAGGAGG
rnacentral:rRNA from 1 species